rnacentral:rRNA from 1 species
UACGGAGGGUGCAAGCGUUAUCCGGAUUCACUGGGUUUAAAGGGUGCGUAGGUGGGUUGGUAAGUCAGUGGUGAAAUCUCCGGGCUUAACUCGGAAACUGCCAUUGAUACUAUCAAUCUUGAAUGUUGUGGAGGUAAGCGGAAUAUGUCAUGUAGCGGUGAAAUGCUUAGAUAUGACAUAGAACACCGAUAGCGAAGGCAGCUUGCUACACAAUAAUUGACACUGAGGCACGAAAGCGUGGGGAUCAAACAGG